ACGCGGUUAGACUUAAGGGCUGGUCUUUAUAAGUAAAAAGGCGUAAAGGUGUGUAGGCCAAGAAAAUAUCAAAGAAGGUAAAUGGAAUUUUUCUGGAGCGGUAGAAUGUGAGGAUAGAAAAUAGAACACCUAAGGUUAAAACUAUUUACCACAAAAUAGGCUGAAACAUGAAAGUGUGGGGAGCAAACAGGAUUAGAUACCCUGGUAGUCCACACUGUGAACUCUGAAGAUGAUGCUUAGCAGACCCGAAAGGUUAAAUCUUCCGCCUGAGUAGUACGAUCGCAAGAUUAAAAUUCAAAAACUUUGGCUGUUCACUAUUUCGAUUAGAGGAGCGUGUAGUUUAAUUCGAUGGUCCGCGUGUUACCUUACCUCAGCUUGAAUCUAUGACCGGUAUUGCAUGGCCGUCGUAAGUCCGUGUGUUAAGCUAGAAGGGACCCAAUCCGGGCGUUUGCCCGAAGGAAGUCAGGUCUUAUGAUCCGAAUGUUGAGGGAUUAUAUGCGCUACAUUUUCUUAUAUAAUGAGAGACUUGAAAGGUAAGCCUCUAAAGUAAGAGUUCGGAAGGUCGCUGUAAAACGACUGGAAGUUGGAUUUAAUAGUAAUCGGAAAGUAGAGC
rnacentral:rRNA from 1 species